AAAAUAGUUAAAGGUGCAGUAUGUAAUAUUGACAGCUUGUGUUUGAAAUGGGUUCUGCAGUCUGAAUACAAAAUAUUGGAGUGUGUUGUCUUUCCCGUCCUCUCCUCCUCAGACUCGAUGCUCAAGUGGGUUGCCAGAUUGUGGACAGACAAAACACCAUCUGACUCAGCCUGAUACGCCCCAAACUCUCGCUAUUGGCUGCACAGAGUUGGAAUGUCUCACAAUCAGUCACAC
rnacentral:lncRNA from 1 species